ensembl:lncRNA
GAGUGGGAAACGAAGCCACAGGAAAAGGCGCGAGUGAAAUUUGUCUCUCACUGACGGUGAUUAUAAUUAGCCACUGGACAACUGUAUCAGAGCUAGCAGUUCAGUACCAAAUCAAGAAAGAUAAAAGUAAUCGGAGGAUUUGCAAACAAUUAGGAUACUGAAUUUCAGGUAUGUAUUUGAAAGAUUCAUUUCCUUCUUGUAAGUCGUUGCAAUCUCAUUUCACUAGAUACCUUGUAAAGUAUUCUUGAUGAAAUGCUUGCUUCAUGGGAAUCAUUCUUUUCUUUGUAUUUGGGUGUACUUACUUAGAGGCUCUCGAGAGAUUCACUUAAGAUUUUCAAGUUUUCUGCAUUAGAUAUUUUUAAGAAGCACAAUAAAAUCCAGGGAAUAUAUCUUUUGAAGUGGAAAGUCUGAAACAAAAACAAUUUGAUGGUUGUCACAGACAAAGCAACUAGAGCCCUAAAGUAUAAUUCAAGGUUUUUAUAAACUCCAAGUUAUAGGUUACUCUUUGACAAAUAAAAGAUGAGUUCUGAGUCUGGAGGUGGUUUAAUGUGAGAACUUAAGUUGAGGAAAAGAGUGGAGAAUCUGAAGGUGUGGAAUAGCUCACACAUGUAUGCAUUUUUAAUUAUUCAUAUAAAUACACAUGCAAAUAUAGAUUGUUAUGUAGCCAACAAAUAUUUAUCAAAUGCAUUUAAUGUGCCAAACCUAGUCCUUGCCAUUAAUGACUUAUAAUAGAUAAGUAAUUAAAAUAGCUUUGAUAAGUAUUAUGAUCACAGUUGUACCUGCUUAUAGAAGAACUGACUCAUUGGAAAAGAUACUGAUGCUGGGAAAGAUUGAAGGCAGGAGAAGAGAUCGACAGAGGAUGAGAUGGUUGGCAUCACUGAAUCAAUGGAUACAAGUUUGAGCAAACUCUGGGACAUAGUGAAGGACAGAGAAGCCGGGUGUGCUGCAGGUCAUGAGGUCACAAAGAUUCAGACAGGACUGAGCGAAUGAACAACAGCAGCAUAUAGGAAUUUAACAUGUUCAGGUUCUUUCUGCUUCACUUUCAUGGGAGAAAUAUCUGAGAACCAGAUUUUACCUGCAGGUGGGGGUUUCUUCAGUUCCCAGAUGGAAUCCAUGAUUUCCUCUUUUCUCCUGGGUGCCUCCUACAGAUUGUUUUUCCUAUAGUGAAAAAGUCACUUCCAGGCUCCCAUAGAUUCCAUGAGUCCUGAGAUGGCACCCUUUUUCCCCCACCCCAGCC